AUGUCACUGUUGCGGUCAAUUGUUUUUGUGUACAGAUCUCGGAGCCUAGGCUGCCUAUAGACACGUUUUUUUUGACAGCCUGCUUAUGGCGCGGGCAGCUAGCGGAUCGUUAAGACAGAUUAGAUGAAAGUGAUAAUUUAUGUUUGGGCCUUUUUUGGGCCUGCA